rnacentral:rRNA from 1 species
AACGAACGCUGGCGGCAUGCCUAACACAUGCAAGUCGAACGAGACCUUCGGGUCUAGUGGCGCACGGGUGCGUAACGCGUGGGAACCUGCCCUUAGGUUCGGAAUAACUCCCCGAAAGGGGUGAUAAUACCGGAUAAUGUCUUCGGACCAAAGAUUUAUCGCCUUUGGAUGGGCCCGCGUUGGAUUAGCUAGUUGGUAGGGUAAAAGCCUACCAAGGCGACGAUCCAUAGCUGGUCUGAGAGGAUGAUCAGCCACACUGGGACUGAGACACGGCCCAGACUCCUACGGGAGGCAGGAGUGGGGAAUAUUGGACAAUGGGCGAAAGCCUGAUCCAGCAAUGCCGCGUGAGUGAUGAAGGCCUUAGGGUUGUAAAGCUCUUUUACCCGGGAUGAUAAUGACAGUACCGGGAGAAUAAGCUCCGGCUAACUCCGUG